UAAAACAUGACAGCCACAGACCAUGGAAGUGGCACAAGGGCUUUAUCAGAACAGGACCCCGUGGCUGUACGCAGAUUAAAUGUGCAGCAGUGCAGGAGGUGGGGGUGUCACUGUGUUUCUGGGGCUCUUUGGCAGCAGUCUAGAACGGGAAGUGAUUGUCAGGAGGUUUCCCUAGGGCUGCCUGCCUGGAGGAAGAGGCGCUCUGAUGCACAGUUUGGGGAAUUGAAGCCAUGGCACUCCCUGAAAACUCUUACUCUCUGAUGGUAUCUACAGAUCUAAGUUUAAUUCAGUUACAGAAAAAUUCAUAAAAAUGUGUAAUUGUGGAUGAGCUUAUAAAAUUGUAUGCUGUUUUUACAAAAGUCAUAACCUUGACCAUAGAUAUUUUAACCGGUCGCUUUUCAACUACUGUAUCUUCCUGUCUCAUAACAUAAUUAACUUUUGGGAGCUGUAGGACAGGUAUGUACUUAGACCUGUCAUGUCAGAUGUUUGACGUAUAUAUAAUGACAGGUCAGAAGAAGCAGAGAGUAAACACCCACGUUUUUGUGAUAGGAGAUAGGCUGUACUGGGAGAAUGUGUGAGCUCCAAAGACAUCUGGCUGCCUGCUUUGUUACUCUGCCCGUGUGGAUUGACUUGGCUUUUUAACUGCCUCGCAUAGUUUGUUUUUAGCAUAAUUCCUUCAUAAGAUCUACUCCAAGCCGUAUUAUUUCCUCAUACUGUUAAUGCAGCUCAGGCUCCUUACUUUUCACCUCAGCUCAUGCUGUUUGAUUUCCAUUUUUCUCUGUAAGUAACCACUGCUCCAUCUUGACCCUCUUCUUACCAGCCUGCCAUCUGGUCGGUUUUUCUCAUGUGCAUUAAUAAUCGUCCGUCUCAGAAUGUGUCUCCACUUCUUUGGUUUUAACAUCCUCCCUCUCCUGUGCCUUCUUGCCUGGUUCUUCUCUCUCUCUCUCAGCUCACCAAGACUACCUAUUUUGGACUGUCCUUAGGAUAGUAAAGGUGCUAGAUUUUUCUUGCUUGAGAAUAUUUGUGUUUGUUGUAUAAUUUGGUUGUGUGAUAAAGCUAAAUACUUUAUAACCUUAUUUAACAUUAGUGUAGAGCAAAAGUUCUCAAACUUUUUGACCUCAGAACCUUUUUACACUAUUAAAUAUUAUUAAGGACCAGAAAGAGCUUUUGUUAAUGUAAACCGUAUCUAAUAUUUACCCUUUAAGAAACUGAAAUGGAGAAAUUUAAAAAUGAUUUAUUUAUAAAUAGUAAACUCAUUAUAUGUUAACACACUAUUUUUAACUUAGUAUUUUCCAAAAUAAAACCCAGUUUAACAAGAACAUUGUUUUAUGCUUUACAUUUUUUUUUUUUUUUUUUACUGUUCUCUGCCUAUUUCUCCAUUUAGUCAGGUUUGCCACCACAUGUCAUGCAGCCUCUGGAAAACUCCAUUGAAUACUUGUAAGACAGUGAGAGUUAAGAAGGCAAAUAACAGGUCAUUAUUUAGAAAAUAGUUUUGACUUUACUCCCUGAAAGGGUCUCAGGGACCGUCAGCCAAGAUUGCCCUGAGAACUCCUUCAAGGAUAAUUUAAUGCUGUCGUGGACUCCUUUCUUGGUGUUAGCCUCUUGCUUUUAAUGUUUGACAAAUUUUAAUUGGUUGAAUGAUUUUCUUAUGUAUGUUAAUAUUACAUUAAAUUUCCUUUUAAUAGUUUCUGAAUGAGACUUGUGUCAUUCAUUAAAUUGUUCCUCAAUAGUAAGCUAAUAUUUCAGUGCUUUUUGGAUUAUGCUAGGACAGUAACAGCAGUGUAGGAAAAUUGCAAUACCAUUUGGCCAUUUUAGAUUUUGUCUAGAUGAGUUGCUUAUUAAGAAUUAUAAAUGAGUUUCGUUUCUAGAAGAUGAAAUAGUUUCGUUUCUAGAAGAUGAAAUGGUGGAUACGUGGUGUGGUACCUGUUGUCCCUGUGCUACUGUGCUAGGUUCAUCAGAGUCCCUGUCGAUAGCAAGUUUUUAUUCUGAAAGGUAACACAGAAACAUUUGUAAAGUUAAUAAAAAUUAACCAAAGUUAAUUAGUUCAAGUCUCUUCCUCUACGAAUAUUCUCUUAUUUUCCUAGCCCAGUGAUACUUCCUCCUUCCAAAGAAUGUCUAGGAGAGGAAUGAGAAUGUUCUAUGGAGGAAGAGGGUCUUGGACGAAACUGUGGGAGUAGAAAUGAAUAGAGGGAAAGAUAGCAGUAGGCACUGCAGGUAGAGUGGAAAAUAGGAAAAUGGGCAUGAAAAUGGGAGGUGCAGGACUUAGUUUAAUCAGUCUGAAUUUCAAAGGGAUUUGAAUGAAUUUAAAAUUUCAAAAUAGAUUUGGCACACAUUUUUAUCAGCACAGAGAGAAACAUUUUGAUACUUUGUGUAGUAAAAAGAGCUAUAUAAAAUGGCUUAAAGAAUGAUAAAAUAGAAUUGUUUUGCAUUUUCAGUUUACAUAUUUAUUUUGUGUGAGUUAUUUAUAGAUAAUUUUAGUUUUCAGAGUGUCAUUGAUCUUCUCCUUUAUGUCCCUAAGAUGACAGAAGCUAAGGUAAAGCUGAUGGAUCUUGGAUGUUGGGUGGAAAUCUUAGACCACCUUGCAUCUUUUUUAAUGCAACUCAAAUGAACUAAAAACAGAAGAUUUUUAAAAAUGAAGUAAUAGAAAGAAUGACCUUAUCUCACCCUCCUCCCCUCCUUGCUUCUCUGCUCAUCUGUAGCACCUGUCUGCUCUCACCCUUCCCAUGUUCUCGCCAUUGCUGGUGCAAGAUUUCUACAGCUUCCGUCAUCUGGAUCAGCCUUCUUGUUACCUAGAUUUCCUCAGCCAUCUCUUUCUUCAAGUCUUAUUCUAGCCAUGCUCUGUUGGCCUUUUGUUUUGAUUUUUAUUUUGGGCUUGCAACUAGGUGCUUUAAUUUCAUUAUCAUACCAUGUUGCUCCCCUGACUUUUAUUUGUUUUACUUUCUCCUGUCUCAGAUUUCAUUUUUGUACUACAUUUUGAGAAAUAAUAUUGCAAUAAAAUGUUAUAAAUGCUUUCAGACAUAGCUAGUUGUUGGAUGCUUUAAUCCAAUCUAAAGUUUAAAUUUUAUUUUUGGGGAACUAUAGAAUCAUUUUGGGAAUCAAAUAACAAGAGUUUCAUACACUUCUUUUAUACUAGUACUAGCAUAAUAUAUUGAUGAGUAUAAUAUAUUGCUUUUCUUUACCCAAUGGAACUGUAGCCCCAAAGGCUUUUUGCUGAUUAAUUAUGGGCAUGUCUUCUGCUUUGCCUACCCAAGUGAGCUCAAGGCGUUGAAAGACGGACUGAAUGUUAGGCUGGGUUAAACUAUUAACAUAGAAGAUCAAUGGACUCUUCACUGAAUAAGUAUCUUUGACACCUAAUUUUGAUGUACCUAGACUAUUGUUUGAGGUGUAAUAUAUACACUUAAAAAUGAAUAAAAGAGCUUCUUUAUAUUUGGGGUGAGAAAAUCCAUAUUGGAAUGUUGAAUUUCUUCUUUUUUACAGAGAAUACACAUUGGCAAGUUGAGAGUUAUCAACCUGUGAAACAGUAGUUGGCAAAAAAGGAGAAAGCCACUAAGGCACAAAAGACACUGGAAGACCAUAUUGCAGUCCGAUCUACAGCUCCUGGAUAAUUGCUUGAUUCUCGUCAGAGACUGUCAAUAUUCCAUUCAUUGCCAUUACCAAUAAAUCGUUGCUUUUGUUCGGAUGGUAUCACUAGUGUUUAUUGUAAUCUUGAUACAUGCAAUUGUAAAUAAAAGUCACUACUUUUGCCAAGCUUAAUUUUUGUCAUUUUAAA